UGGGGAAUUUUGGACAAUGGGCGAAGGCCUGAUCCAGCAAUGCCGCGUGUGUGAAGAAGGCCUUCGGGUUGUAAAGCACUUUUGUCCGGAAAGAAAUCCUUGGCUCUAAUACAGUCGGGGGAUGACGGUACCGGAAGAAUAAGCACCGGCUAACUACGUGCCAGCAGCCGCGGUAAUACGUAGGGUGCAAGCGUUAAUCGGAAUUACUGGGCGUAAAGCGUGCGCAGGCGGUUUGCUAAGACCGAUGUGAAAUCCCCGGGCUCAACCUGGGAACUGCAUUGGUGACUGGCAGGCUAGAGUAUGGCAGAGGGGGGUAGAAUUCCACGUGUAGCAGUGAAAUGCGUAGAGAUGUGGAGGAAUACCGAUGGCGAAGGCAGCCCCCUGGGCCAAUACUGACGCUCAUGCACGAAAGCGUGGGGAGCAAACAGGAUUAGAUACCCUGGUAGUCCACGCCCUAAACGAUGUCAACUAGUUGUUGGGGAUUCAUUUCCUUAGUAACGUAGCUAACGCGUGAAGUUGACCGCCUGGGGAGUACGGUCGCAAGAUUAAAACUCAAAUGAAUUGACGGGGUCAUAGCUGUUUUCU
rnacentral:rRNA from 1 species